rnacentral:lncRNA from 1 species
GGGUUCCAUGCAAUGGAAUACAGGAGGAAGUAACAGAGAACACAAAAAAUCCCUUGAGUAGGUGUCCUCUCUCUUGCUCCGUCUUCCUCUUCUGAAGUGACUGUGGGAGUCACAUGUUGAAGAUCCAUCACAAAUGGAAGGGAUCUGAGUCCCCACCUCAUUGCUCGGGAUUGACUGUCCCACACAUGCAAGAAGGUGGCCAUCUGCAAACCAAGAAGAGAGCCCUCACCAGAAACUGAAAUUGCCAGCACCUUGAUCUUGGACAUCCCAGCCUCCAGAAUGACACUGCAGUUGAUGGAUCAGCUGGCACCACCUGGAUCAAUAAACUGGUUCAUCUUAUCUUGUGGCCCCCACCCAGGAACUGACUCAGUACAAGAGGACACCUUCAACUUCCCAUGAUUUCAUCUCCAACCCAACCAGUCAGCACUCUCGACUCACAGGACUUCCUCCACCCACCAAAUUAUCCUUAAAAACUCUGAUUUCCAAAUGUUUGGGGAGACUGAUUUGAAUAAUAAAAAAAC